rnacentral:rRNA from 1 species
CCUGGAAACAGAUGCUAAUACCGGAUAACAANAGAUGAUGCCUAUCAACUGUUUAAAAGAUGGUUCUGCUAUCACUCUUGGAUGGACCUGCGGUGCAUUAGCUAGUUGGUAGGGUAACGGCCUACCAAGGCGAUGAUGCAUAGCCGAGUUGAGAGACUGAUCGGCCACAUUGGGACUGAGACACGGCCCAAACUCCUACGGGAGGCAGCAGCC